ACUUAGCGGCGGACGGGUGAGUAACACGUAGGCAACCUGCCCAUGACACGGGGAUAGCUUCGGGAAACCGAAGGUAAUACCCGAUACCUUUACACAUUGCAUAAUGUAUAAAGAAAGCGACUAAGCGGUCAUGGAUGGGCCUGCGUCCCAUUAGCUAGUUGGUGAGAUAACAGCCCACCAAGGCGACGAUGGGUAGCCGGCCUGAGAGGGCGACCGGCCACACUGGAACUUAGACACGGUCCAGACUCCUACGGGAGG
rnacentral:rRNA from 1 species